rnacentral:misc_RNA from 1 species
UCCUGGUUAACCCAGGCAGUCUCAUUAGAGUUCCCACCUUAAAUGUUGGCAACUAAUGAUAAGGGUUGCGCUCGUUGCGGGACUUAACCCAACACCUCACGGCACGAGCUGACGACAGCCAUGCAGCACCUGUGCAGAGACCCCGAAGGGAGACACCAUCUCUGGUGUUGUCCUCUGCAUGUCAAGCCUGGGUAAGGUUCUUCGCGUUGCAUCGAAUUAAACCACAUGCUCCACUGCUUGUGCGGGUCCCCGUCAAUUCUUUUGAGUUUCACCCUUGCGAGCGUACUCCCCAGGCGGUAUACUUAUCGCGUUAGCUACGGCACAACCGGGGUUGAGUCCAGUUACACCAAGUAUACAUCGUUUAAGGCAAGGACUAC